GACGAACGCUGGCGGCGCGCUUAACACAUGCAAGUCGAGCGAAGCGGCGGACGGGUGAGUAACACGUGAGUAACCUGCCUUAGACAUUGGGAUAGCCUCGGGAAACCGGGAUUAAUACCAAAUAGUCUAAGAUGGACUCGCGUCCCAUUAGCUAGUUGGUGAGUAAAAGCCUACCAAGGCGACGAUGGGUAGCCGGCCUGAGAGGGUGAACGGCCACAUUGGAACUGAGAAACGGUCCAAACUCUACGGGAGGCAGCAGUGGGGAAUAUUGCACAAUGGAGGGAACUCUGAUGCAGCGACGCCGCGUGAACGAAGAAGGCUUUCGAGUCGUAAAGUUCUUUUAUAUGGGAAGCGGUACCAUAAGAAAAAGCCCCGGCUAACUACGUGCCAGCAGCCGCGGUAAUAC
rnacentral:rRNA from 1 species